ACGGGAGGCAGCAGUCGGGAAUAUUGCGCAAUGGAGGGAACUCUGACGCAGUGACGCCGCGUGCAGGAAGAAGGUUUUCGAAUUGUAAACUGCUUUAGACAGGGAAGAAAAAAGACAGUACCUGUAGAAUAAGCUCCGGCUAACUACGUGCCAGCAGCCGCGGUAAUACGUAGGGAGCGAGCGUUAUCCGGAUUUAUUGGGUGUAAAGGGUGCGUAGGUGGGAAUGCAAGUUAGUUGUGAAAUCCCUCGGCUUAACUGAGGAACUGCAACUAAAACUACAUUUCUUGAGUGCUGGAGAGGAAAGUGGAAUUCCUAGUGUAGCGGUGAAAUGCGUAGAUAUUAGGAGGAACACCGGUGGCGAAGGCGACUUUCUGGACAGUAACUGACGCUGAGGCGCGAAAGCGUGGGGAGCAAACAGGAUUAGAUACCCUGGUA
rnacentral:rRNA from 1 species